AUACCAGCACCCCGAGUGGUCGGGACGUUUAUUGGGCCUAAAGCAUCCGUAGCCGGUUCUACAAGUCUUCCGUUAAAUCCACCUGCUUAACAGAUGGGCUGCGGAAGAUACUAUAGAGCUAGGAGGCGGGAGAGGCAAGAGGUACUCGAUGGGUAGGGGAAAAAUCCGUGGAUCCAUUGAAGACCACCAGUGGCGAAGGCGGCUUGCCAGAACGCGCUCGACGGUGAGGGAUGAAAGCUGGGGGAGCAAACCGGAUUAGAUACCCGGGUAGUCCCAGCUGUAAACGAUGCAGACUCGGUGAUGAGUUGGCUUAUUGCUAACUCAGUGCCGCAGGGAAGCCGUUAAGUUUGCCGCCUGGGGAGUACGGUCGCAAGACUGAAACUCAAAUGAAUUGACGGGG
rnacentral:rRNA from 1 species